GUGGAUUAGGUCAUACAGGUGGUACGAUUGAUAAAUUAGAAGCAAUUGAUGGUUUUCAUGUUGAAAUAGAUGAA
rnacentral:sRNA from 1 species